UUCCAGGUGCACUGCUAUCAUGAUUAUACGUCACUCUAGAAAAAACUGAUUACAUUGCAACCUGACCUUCUCCCUGUCUGCGGGGCCCAUUACCACGUCAAUCAGAUGGCUCAGAGAAGGAAAAAUUAUUUUAUCUUUAACAAUACUUAAAACUGCUCAGCAGGGCCAUCUUGGGGACUGGGCGUUGGCAGCUGUGGGUAGGUGCUCUGGGUCUCUGCAUCCUACAGGCUCCCCUUUAUUUAUUUAUUUAUUUAUUUAUUUAUUUAUUUAUUUUUGAGACGGAGUCUCGCUCUGUCGCCCAGGCUGGAGUGCAGUGGCAUGAUGUCAGCUCACUGCAACCUCCACCUCCCAGGCUCAAGAGAUUCUCCUGCUUCAGCCUCCUGAAUAGCUGGGAUUACAGGCAUGCACCACCACGCCUGGCUAAUUUUUUGCAUUUUUAGUAGAGAUGGGUUUUCACCAUGUUGGUCGGGUUAGUCUCAAACUCCUGACUUCAAAUGAUCCACCCACCUUGGUCAGAUCCCAAUCUCAAUGUGUCGGGAUUACAGGCAUGAGCCACCGCGCCCGGCCUGCAGGCUCCUCUUUAGCUGUCUCCCUGCCUUACAGAAAAGUCUGGAACCUUCUGAUUUGCAAACUGAAUUCCCACCCUCCUGGGCCACCCCAUCCGCAAAGGGGGCUCGCCCUUCCGGAACCAGCCCAGAUCCCUCUCUCUUGUCUCUCUCUUUGUCUCUCUGUCUUUGCCUCUGUCUCUCUCUUUGUUGGCACUGGGGAGACCCAAGAAUCGAGUGCUCAUGGGCUGGUGGGUAUCCACAAAUCAUUUCCUCAGCCUGAGCACCGCGUGAUGGAGGGGCCACCAUCACACCCAUUGUGCAGUGUGGAGACCGAGGUCCAGAGACACAAAGCCCUGUUUCUGUUUCUUUUUUUUUUUCUUUUUCCUUUUUUUUUUUUUUUUGAGAUGGAGUCUCGCUCUGUUGCCCAGGCUGGAGUGCAGUGGCGCAACCUUGGCUCACUGCAAGUUCUACCUCCCAGGUUCACGCCAUUUUCCUGCCUCAGCCUCCCGAGUAGCUGGGACUACAGGUGCCCGCCACCAAGCCUGGCUAAUUUUUUUUUUUUUUUGUAUUUUUAGUAAAGACGUGUUUUCACUGUGUUAGCCAGGAUGGUCUUGAUCUCCUGACCUUGUGAUCCACCUGCCUCAGCCUCCCUAAGAGCUGGG
rnacentral:lncRNA from 1 species